UUGGGAAAGCGAGCGGCGGAUGGGUGAGUAACACGUGGGGAACCUGCCCCUAAGUCUGGGAUACCAUUUGGAAACAGGUGCUAAUACCGGAUAAUAAAGCAGAUCGCAUGAUCAGCUUUUGAAAGGCGGCGUAAGCUGUCGCUAAGGGAUGGCCCCGCGGUGCAUUAGCUAGUUGGUAAGGUAACGGCUUACCAAGGCGACGAUGCAUAGCCGAGUUGAGAGACUGAUCGGCCACAUUGGGACUGAGACACGGCCCAAACUCCUACGGGAGGCAGCAGUAGGGAAUCUUCCACAAUGGACGCAAGUCUGAUGGAGCAACGCCGCGUGAGUGAAGAAGGUUUUCGGAUCGUAAAGCUCUGUUGUUGGUGAAGAAGGAUAGAGGUAGUAACUGGCCUUUAUUUGACGGUAAUCAACCAGAAAGUCACGGCUAACUACGUGCCAGCAGCCGCGGUAAUACGUAGGUGGCAAGCGUUGUCCGGAUUUAUUGGGCGUAAAGCGAGCGCAGGCGGAAAAAUAAGUCUAAUGUGAAAGCCCUCGGCUUAACCGAGGAACUGCAUCGGAAACUGUUUUUCUUGAGUGCAGAAGAGGAGAGUGGAACUCCAUGUGUAGCGGUGGAAUGCGUAGAUAUAUGGAAGAACACCAGUGGCGAAGGCGGCUCUCUGGUCUGCAACUGACGCUGAGGCUCGAAAGCAUGGGUAGCGAACAGGAUUAGAUACCCUGGUAGUCCAUGCCGUAAACGAUGAGUGCUAAGUGUUGGGAGGUUUCCGCCUCUCAGUGCUGCAGCUAACGCAUUAAGCACUCCGCCUGGGGAGUACGACCGCAAGGUUUGAAACUCAAAGGAAUUGACGGGGGGCCCCGCACAAGC
rnacentral:rRNA from 1 species